GAGAGAAUUUGUCAACUCCUGAUCUACAGACAUGAAUUGUCCAGGAAAAUUUGGACUAGGAGGCUGGGGUUUCUUCUUUGCCCAGAAGCCUGUAACCGGUGCUGUCUUUAUUCUUCAGGGCUGCUACAGCCUACCAUAGACUGCGUAGCUUAUCAACAACAGAGAUGCAUUGCUCACAGUCCUGGAGGCUGAGAAGUCCAAGACCAAAGCACCUGCAUGGUCAGCUUCUGGGGUCAGGCAACAUGCUACUUACUCCCUCAUGUGUUUCAUCUUGGUCGCGGCCACUGUGCUGUUGAAUGUUGUUAGUCCCGGGGACACGUCUGGAGCUGUGCUGGGGAUCGUCCUCGCAUCUGAAAAUCAAUGCACAGCCCUUAUUGACUUCAUCAGCACCCGGCAACUUCCAGGCAACAUUCAAGGGCAAUCAGAAAACAGAAGUUAAUCCACCUGUGCCACUAGGGCCCUCCUGGGGGCACUCCCAGAUAAAGGUCCUGCCUGCUCAACUUUACGUCAGAGGCUGCUUCCUGAAGAACCCAGGCCAUGACACAUGGGUACCUGGUUGGGGGGAUGUGGGGGCAUGAAGGUGGUUCUCUCAUUGACUUCAACAAGUUGAGUAAUAAAUAAGAAUUAAAAUAAAUAUACAAAUGGAGCCCUAUACUCCCACCCCACA